UGGGUGCCGCCGAGGAACCCGCCUCCCCCGGGGCCCCCUCCACAGUGGUCCUCGCAGGGACAUCCGCCUCCGCCGCCCCGCGGCUAUGGGCCUCCACCGCCGCAGCACCAGCAUGUGCCGCCUCCGCCACCACGCGGCUACGGACCUCCACCACCAGGACAGCAUAUGCCGCCCCCGCCGCCACGCGGAUACGGGCCUCCACCACCGGGACAGCAUAUGCCGCCGCCUCCGCCUCCGCCGCCACAUGGUCACGGGCCUCCACCACCGGGCCAGCACGUGCCGCCUCCACCGCCGCACGGCCACGGGCCUCCACUACCGGGCCAGCAUAUGCCGCCGCCACACGGCCACGGGCCUCCACCACCAGGACAGCACAUGCCGCCUCCGCCGCCACGCCACCACGGACCUCCGCCACCGGGACAGCAUGUGCCGCCGCCGCCACCACCACACGGCCACGGACCUCCGCCACCGGGACAGCAUGUGCCACCGCCUCCGCCACCACACGGCCACGGACCUCCGCCACCGGGACAGCAUGUGCCGCCUCCACGCGGCCACGGGCCUCCACCCCCGCACCAGCAGGCACCACCUCCACCGCCGCCUCCUGAACCUGUGGCAGGUCCCGGGGAGCUGAUGGGACUGUGCCGGGAGGGGCGGGUGAAGGACGCCGUGGAGCUUC
rnacentral:lncRNA from 1 species